rnacentral:ncRNA from 1 species
AUUGCGUGGGAAGUAAUUGAUGAAGGUAAAGCCCCGGCACUGGUCGAUGGCGUGAAACAACGGGUUCCAGUCGAACAUUGCGACCAUGAAGGACGGCAGGGAGUUGGCAACGAACAUCUUGCCCGAGGCGAUCAUGUUCGCGCGCUG